GAGGGUAUAGCUCUGUGGUGGAGCGGGUGCCUAGCAUGCACGAGGUCCUGGGUUCAAUCCCCAGUACCUCCA
rnacentral:tRNA from 1 species